rnacentral:rRNA from 1 species
AACGUAGGACGCAAGCGUUAUCCGGAGUUACUGGGCGUAAAGCGCGGGCAGGCGGCCCGAUGCGUCUGAUGUGAAAUCUCCUCGCUCAACGGGGAGAGGCCAUUGGAAACGGACGGGCUGGAGGGCAGUAGAGGUAGGCGGAAUUCCGGGUGGAGUGGUGAAAUGCGCAGAUAUCAGGAGGAACACCCGUAGCGAAGGCGGCACUCUGGGCCGAUACUGACACUGAGGAGCGAAAGCGUGGGGAGCGAACAGG